UAAGGAAUAUUGCUCAAUGGGAGAAAUCCUGAAGCAGCAACGCCGCGUGGAGGAUGAAGGGUCUAUGACUUGUAAACUCCUGUAAAGAAGGAAAAAAUUCCCAUUAGAUGGGAGAUGAUGGUACUUCUGGAGUAAGCCCCGGCUAACUACGUGCCAGCAGCCGCGGUAAUACGUAGGGGGCAAGCGUUGUCCGGAUUUACUGGGUGUAAAGGGCGCGCAGGCGGGAUAAAAAGUCAGUGGUGAAAUCCUACAGCUUAACUGUAGAACUGCCUUUGAUACUUUUAUACUUAAGUUCGGGAGAGAGAGACGGAAUUCCAGGUGUAGUGGUGAAAUACGUAGAUAUCUGGAAGAACACCAGUUGCGAAGGCGGUCUCUUGGUCCGACACUGACGCUGAGGCGCGAAAGCGUGGGGAGCAAACA
rnacentral:rRNA from 1 species